CUCUUUAUAAUUAUAUUUAUUUAACAUUUAACAUAUACACACAUAUUUUCCCAAUGCUACACAGUUGAAAAAAUAUAGCACAUCAUGGGAAUCAUAUUUGCAUAACUAUAGCCCCGUUUACACUACGCUCAUUUUUUGGUACGGCACGGAUAAAAUUGGUACCGUACACCAAAAAUAGAGCGUAGUGUAAACGGGGCUCAAAAUAUAGGUAGUCCAAGAACCAAAAAAGUGGUAAGGGUACCAAUUUUAUCCGUGCCGUACCAAAACGGGGCUUAAGUCCAUAGUGUACCCAGUAAUAAGUAUAUCCAUAGGGGUAUACAGCCAAUUCAAAAAAGGUUGUGCAUUGCAAACCUUAAACUCUAAGUAAAACUUAUAUGAUUUCUAAACUGAUUAAAUGAUACUCCCAUUAUACUUUACACGCUUAGAGUCUUUAAGGUUUAAGGUUUAGAGUUUAAUUAUAAGGUUUGCAAAGGACAACCUUUUUGAAUUAGCUUUAUACGGAAAUGGCAAUUUGUGUGGAAAUUAAAUUUCUAUAGUAUUUCCAACUAGGUUCUAUGCUAUAAUAGCAUGGCUAUUUCUAUAAUAAAGAUUUUGAAAAAAAAUAUUUUAGUACUAUGAGGUGAAUAGUUUUUACUAUUUUUAAAAUAAUUAUCAUUUUUAAAAUAAUGCCAAUAUCAGUUCUCGCAAUCAUCGACGGCAAACGGAAAUUUCCGCCGAUAAUGCUGGCGAAAAUAAAAUUAUCGACGGCAAGUUCUUGCCUAUAUUAUGAUGAUUAUCAAACUCUUAUUAUUUAUAAUAGUUUUGUUUGUGGAAACAUGCACCACGUAAAUUUAUUACUGCAAAGCUUUCGAUCCGUAAGCCCGGAUCUUCAUCCGUAAGCCCGGAUCGAAAGCUUUGCAUGUAAUAAAUUUACGUGGUGUUUCCACAAACAAAACUAUUAUAUGUUUUAUCGCCAUGCAAACUUACAAAGAUCUUAUUAUUUCAAUUUUAUUACAUACUAUAGUCAUACUUGCACGCGCCUUUAUCCUGGCGACUGAGGGUGCCGGAUAUCUUUUUUGUCACUGAUAUCGUUUCUUGUCACUAAUAUCGCUUUUGUCCCGCUAGUUCAACAAUUGUUGCAACCAUUGGGGCAAUGAUAAUAUUCUAGUAAUAAAUUCUGACACUGACAAAGUCAAAGGCGCAAGUAUGUAAUAAACUGUAUAUUGUCAAAAUUUUAAAAAAACAUGCAUGCUUAGUAAUAUAGUUAAUAUUCUUGUAUUUGGUACUAUUUAACAAUUAGUCGCCGAAGGCGAG